UUGUGUUUGUCUGUGUAUAGUUAAUUGUGAACCAUUUGCUGUUUAGUUCUGUGAUUGGUAUACUGAUUGUAUUUGAUUGAUUUCAGGUACAUUAGUUGCUAAUAUUGCUUUGCUUUGCUUGAUAAGCAAUUUGCACUGAGGUAUAACAUUCUUGUCUCCAUGUAGUCUGGAAGACCUGGCCUGUUACUUGGCCAGGCACCUGUCUGAAGUCCUCCUUAAGAGGCGAUGUUUGUGCUUGUUUACU
rnacentral:lncRNA from 1 species